GAAAGUUGAAUCCCAGGACUGCCCCACCAACUGGAAGACCUAUGCUGGAGCCCAAGCCCAGGCCUAGGACCACCCCAUCCACCUGUAUGGGAGCCUAGGCCAAGUUGCAGUAGCAUCUAUGUAUGGUGGGACGCUGGUGGGGGUCUAGAAGCCCAAUACAAAGUUGAGAUAUAGGUAAUCUGCAGGAACACUACAAGAUUAUAGGGUAGAAACUGUAAUUCCUCAGAUCUCCACAGCAAAAAAGAGGACACAUAGACAACAUGAAAAAACAAGGGAGGAAAGUGCCCCAAACAAACCAAGACACUACAAUAAUAGAAUCCAUGGACAGUUGAUGAAUAUAAGAGGAGUUCAGAAUGUACAUAAUUAAAAUGAUCUACAAAUUAAAGAAUGACCUAAGUGAGCAAAUACAAGCAAACAUUGAUCACACCAAGAAAGAGAUAAGGGAGCAAAUAUAGACAGCAAAAGAUUACUUCAAGAAAGAAAUAGAGAUUAUGAAAAAAAAAUCAGAAAUCCUUGAAAUGAAGGUAAGAAUAAACAAAAUUUUAAAAACUCAGUAGAAAGUAUCACCACAGACUAGAUCACUUGGAAGAUAGAACAUCAGAUAAUGAAUAUAAAAUAUACAAUCUAGAAAAUAAAGUUGACCACACAGUGAAAAUGGUAAGAAACCAUGAACAGAACAUCCAAGAAUUAUGGGAUAAUAUCAAAAGACCAAAUAUAAGAUUUACUGGGAUAGAGGAAGACACAGAGAUUCAAACCAAAGGAAUGCACAAUCUCUUCAAUGAAAUAAUAUUAGAAAAUUUCCCAAACAUAAAAAAUGAAUUGGAAAAUCAAACACAAGAGGACACCAAAUGUACAAAAUUGCAACAGAUCUACACUAUGGAACAUUAUAAUGAAAUGCCUAGCAUACAGAAUAAGAACAGAACCUUAAAUGCCACAAGAGAAAGGAAUCAGAUCAUAUACAGGGGAAGACCAAUUCGUAUCUCAGCAGAUUUUUCAACCCAGACCCUCAAAGCCAAGAUCCUGGAACAACAUAUACCAAGCUCUGAAAGAAAAUGGAUGCAACCAAGAAUCUUAUAUCCAGCAAAAUUAGGCUUCAGAUUUGAUGACAAAAUAAAAACCUUUCAUGAUAAACAAAGAUUAAAAGAACAGCAAAAAAAGCCUGCACUACAGAGAAUUCUAAAUAAAGUAUUCCAGGAGGAGGAAAUGAAAAUCAACAAUGAAAAUUAGCAAAGGGAGGAACUACACUAAAGGAAAGGCCUAUCAAAGGAGAAGCCAAGUCAAGUUAAAAACCAAAAAUAAACCAAAAUGACUGGGUAUACAAAUAAUAUUUCAAUAAUAACCAUGAAUGUGAAAGGCAUAAACUCAUCAAUUAAAAGACAUAGAUUGGCAAAUUGGAUUUAAAAAAAAGACCCAACAAUAUGCUGCCUUCAAGAGACUCUUUUCACAGGAAAAGAAACCCAUAGACUGAAGGUGAAAGUGCAGGAAAAAGUGUACCACUCACAUGGACCAUGUAAACAAGCAGGGGUUUCCAUCCUCAUGUCAGAUAAAGUGCACUUCAAACCAAAGCUAGUGAAAAGGGAUAAAGAAGGACAUUUCAUACUGCUGAAGGGAUUCAUAC
rnacentral:lncRNA from 1 species